rnacentral:rRNA from 1 species
GACAGAGGGUGCAAACGUUGUUCGGAAUUACUGGGCGUAAAGCGCGUGUAGGCGGCCCUGCAAGUCGGGUGUGAAAUCCCACGGCUCAACCGUGGAAGUGCACUCGAAACUGCAGGGCUAGAGUCCUGGAGAGGAAGGUGGAAUGCUUGGUGUAGAGGUGAAAUUCGUAGAUAUCAAGCGGAACACCGGUGGCGAAGGCGGCCUUCUGGACAGUGACUGACGCUGAGACGCGAAAGCGUGGGGAGCAAACAGGAUUAGAAA